AUGUCAUUUAAAUCAAUGUACUUUCUGUUCAGGAUAACUCAAAAGUUCCACUUUGAACACAUUUUGUCAAUUCAGGAUUCAUUGGAGAGACAAGUUGAGUCUACAGUGAUGCUUUCCUGGAGGCCAAUUACUGUCCACUGCUUCUUGCUAGAUUAUUUUUCAGAGGAAGAUGAUGUUCACCUUCAGAAACUACAUCUGAAAUCUCUUGAGAAUAAAGAAGCACAAAACAAGAGGGAACAACUUGGUGGCAUACGGGAGUUUGAGGGAAAUGCCAGAGUCUAUUACAUGCUCUGUGGAAUUAUUCAUCAGUGUCAGUUUGGGUUGUAGUUAGUCAGUGCUUUGAAAUGACAGUAUGUCUUAAGAGAUGGCUGCUGUGACUCUGGAAUUGACAGGAGAGAAGACCUGGCCGGCAAAGAAGUGCAUAAGUAACCAGCAAAUUAGUGAAAGGAAGAAGUAGAGUGGGGCAAAUCAAGAGCAGCAGCAUUAAAUAACAAUUAUACAAAUGUAAUACACAUGUUCUCAUUUAUUCUUAUUGACUAUGACAACCAAUGCUUGUAUUAAUCCUGGAUAGUUUUUCAUUGAGUACUCCCACAAUUCCUUUCUGAAGUGUUCUUCCUUUUUACAGAAGGAGAAACCAAUGCUCAGAGAGCUCUGCAGAUCGUGGUGGAACCUGCAUAGAAAAUGAUGUAU
rnacentral:lncRNA from 1 species